rnacentral:rRNA from 1 species
AUGCUUAACACAUGCAAGUCGAACGUGCCUUCGGGCAAGUGGCAGACGGCUGAGUAACGCGUGAGUAACACACCCUUCGGUGGGGUAUAGCUUCGGGAAACUGAGGGUAAUCCCGCAUACGAUCCUUUUCCCUUGGGGGAAGGAUGAAAGCCUUCGGGCGCCGGAGGAGUGGCUCGCGUCCUAUCAGGUAGUUGGUGGGGUAACAGCCCACCAGGCCGAUGACGGGUAGCUGGUCUUAGAGGACGAUCAGCCAGAGGGGGACUGAGACACGGCCCCCACUCCUACGGGAGGCAGCAGCAGGGAAUUUUGGGCAAUGGACGAAAGUCUGACCCAGCGACGUCGCGUGUGGGAUGAAGGCUCUAGGGCUGUAAACCCCUUUUCCGAGGGAGGAGGAAGGACGGUACCUCGGGAAUAAGCUCCGGCUAACUACGUGCCAGCAGCCGCGGUAAUACGUAGGGAGCGAGCGUUACCCGGAAUUACUGGGCGUAAAGAGCACGUAGGCGGUUGGAAAAGUCUUCUGUGAAAGCUCCCGGCUCAACUGGGAGAGGUCAGGGGAUACUAUUCGACUUGAGGGCUGUAGAGGUAAGCGGAAUUCCCGGUGUAGCGGUGAAAUGCGUAGAUAUCGGAAGGAACACCAGUGG